rnacentral:rRNA from 1 species
GAUGAACGCUAGCGGCAGGCUUAAUACAUGCAAGUCGAGGGGCAGCAUGACUGUAGCAAUACAGUUGAUGGCGACCGGCAAACGGGUGCGGAACACGUACAGAACCUUCCUUUAAGUGGUGAAUAGCCCAGAGAAAUUUGGAUUAAUACACCGUAACAUAUAGAGUUGGCAUCAAUUUUAUAUUAUAGCUCCGGCGCUUAAAGAUGGCUGUGCGGCUGAUUAGGUAGUUGGCGGGGUAACGGCCCACCAAGCCUACGAUCAGUAACUGGUGUGCGGGCACGACCAGUCACACGGGCACUGAGACACGGGCCCGGCUCCUACGGGAGGCAGCAGUAAGGAAUAUUGGUCAAUGGACGCAAGUCUGAACCAGCCAUGCCGCGUGGAGGAUGAAGGUCCUCUGGAUUGUAAACUUCUUUUCUCUGGGGCGAAAACCUCCCAUUCUUGGGAGCUUGACAGUACCAGAGGAAUAAGCACCGGCUAACUCCGUGCCAGCCGCCACGGUAAGAC